rnacentral:rRNA from 1 species
AGAGUUUGAUCCUGGCUCAGAACGAACGCUGGCGGCGUGCUUAACACAUGCAAGUCGAACGAGAAAAGGUCCUUCGGGGCCUGAGUAAAGUGGCGGACGGGUGAGUAAUGCAUGGAUGACCUGCCCUUGAGUGGGGGAUAACUACGGGAAACCGUGGCUAAUACCGCAUGAUGAUGUGCUGCUCUCGAGCGGCAUUUUCAAAGCUGGCCUCUACAUGUAAGCUGGCGCUUGAGGAGGGGUCCAUGUCCCAUUAGCUUGUUGGUGAGGUAACGGCUCACCAAGGCAUCGAUCGGUAGCCGGCCUGAGAGGGUGAUCGGCCACAUUGGGACUGAGACACGGCCCAGACUCCUACGGGAGGCAGCAGUGGGGAAUUUUGGGCAAUGGGGGAAACCCUGACCCAGCGACGCCGCGUGGGGGAUGAAGGUCUUCGGAUUGUAAACCCCUGUCAGGUGGGAAGAAGGAUGAAUCGGUUAAUACCCGGUACAUUUUGACGUACCACCAAAGAAGCCCCGCUAACU